rnacentral:rRNA from 1 species
UGGGGAAUAUUGGACAAUGGGCGCAAGCCUGAUCCAGCCAUGCCGCGUGAGUGAUGAAGGCCCUAGGGUUGUAAAGCUCUUUCACCGGUGAAGAUAAUGACGGUAACCGGAGAAGAAGCCCCGGCUAACUUCGUGCCAGCAGCCGCGGUAAUACGAAGGGGGCUAGCGUUGUUCGGAUUUACUGGGCGUAAAGCGCACGUAGGCGGACUUUUAAGUCAGGGGUGAAAUCCCGGGGCUCAACCCCGGAACUGCCUUUGAUACUGGAAGUCUUGAGUAUGGGAGAGGGGAGUGGAAUUCCGAGUGUAGAGGUGAAAUUCGUAGAUAUUCGGAGGAACACCAGUGGCGAAGGCGGCUCACUGGACCAUUACUGACGCUGGGGUGCGAAAGCGUGGGGAGCAAACAGG